UAAAGGUUAAGCUAGAAAGGGCGCACGGUGGAUGCCUUGGCACUAGGAGCCGAAGAAGGACGGGACGAACACCGAUAUGCCUCGGGGAGCUGUAAGUAAGCAUUGAUCCGGGGAUUUCCGAAUGGGGGAACCCACCAUCCGUAAUGGGAUGGUAUCCAUAUCUGAAUACAUAGGAUAUGAGAAGGCAGACCCGGGGAACUGAAACAUCUAAGUACCCGGAGGAAGAGAAAGCAAAUGCGAUUUCCUGAGUAGCGGCGAGCGAAACGGAAUCAGCCCAAACCAGAGGGCUUGCCCUCUGGGGUUGUAGGACACUCAACAUGGAGUUACAAAGGAACGGGGUAGAUGAAGCGGUCUGGAAAGGCCAGCCAAAGAAGGUAACAGCCCUGUAGUUGAAACUUCGUUCCCUCCUGAGUGGAUCCUGAGUACGGCGGGACACGUGAAACCCCGUCGGAAUCCGGGAGGACCAUCUCCCAAGGCUAAAUACUCCCUAGUGACCGAUAGUGAACCAGUACCGUGAGGGAAAGGUGAAAAGCACCCCGGAAGGGGAGUGAAAGAGAUCCUGAAACCGUGUGCCUACAAGUAGUUGGAGCCCUAUGAUUUUUCCUUCGGAAAAUAUCAGGGUGACAGCGUGCCUUUUGUAGAAUGAACCGGCGAGUUACGAUAACGUGCAAGGUUAAGCUGAUAAGGCGGAGCCGCAGCGAAAGCGAGUCUGAAUAGGGCGCCAUAGUACGUUGUCGUAGACCCGAAACCGUGUGAUCUACCCAUGUCCAGGGUGAAGUUCAGGUAACACUGAAUGGAGGCCCGAACCCACGCACGUUGAAAAGUGCGGGGAUGAGGUGUGGGUAGGGGUGAAAUGCCAAUCGAACACGGAGAUAGCUGGUUCUCCCCGAAAUAGCUUUAGGGCUAGCCUCGCGGCUAGAGUCCUGGAGGUAGAGCACUGAUUGGACUAGGGGCCCCCACAGGGUUACCGAAUUCAGUCAAACUCCGAAUGCCAGAGACUUAUCCGCGGGAGUCAGACUGCGAGUGAUAAGAUCCGUAGUCAAGAGGGAAACAGCCCAGACCAUCAGCUAAGGUCCCAAAGUAUACGUUAAGUGGGAAAGGAUGUGGAGUUGCCCAGACAACCAGGAUGUUGGCUUAGAAGCAGCCACCAUUUAAAGAGUGCGUAAUAGCUCACUGGUCGAGUGACUCUGCGCCGAAAAUGUACCGGGGCUAAACGUAUCACCGAAGCUAUGGAUUGUACCUU
rnacentral:rRNA from 1 species